CGUUUAAAAAGUUUAUCUUCAGACUGAUUUUGGAACCCUGUAGUAGGGUUGGAGUGUUGUUGCAACCAUGGUGGCCCAGGAAAAAUGUAAGAAGAAAGGGCAUUUGUGAAACCCUGUUCUACUUUGAUUGGCAGAGGCAGACUCUUUAAAAUCUGAAAAGGCCACAGGAACUGAACUUGAAGUGGGGAGCAGAUGACUUUUAGCAGCUAUGGGCAGAUAUGGUCCAGUCUACACAGGAUUUGGAAAAAGUUCAAGAGGUGACCUCUUCAAAGAAUUCUUGUGAGCAUUCUAAGAGUGGGAAAUAGCCAGGCCCUCAUGGACAUAGGUCCUGGGUAUUACAGAAAGACAGAAGAAUCUGGGAAACCAUGGAAAUUUUCAGUUAUAAUCUAGCUAUUUCCUAGGUCAAGGUCUAUACCACAGCUUGUGUAUGGCCCUCAGCCCACACUCUCUGGGACACCCCUUUCACUGCAACAGUACUAUAAAACUGUCCUGUGCCACAGGCCACAGGAUAACAAAGAAAACUGCAAGCUAUGGGAGAUCCCCUUAACUCUCUCAACCAGCACUGGCUUGGCCUUUUUAUCACUAUCCCACAUCCUGUUACUCAGAGAAAAGCUUUGAGCAUCCUGCCUUCACAAAUUUUGGAACUUGAGAACACAAACAUGACUGCAUGAUAAUGAAUUACUUUUUAGUUCUUAGUGGAUCUUAAAUGUGCAUGAUAUUAUGUAUGUGUGUUUGAUAAUAUUUGUACUGCUCAUAUUGGUUUAUUCACUGCUAUCUAUUGCAAUGCAUUGACAAUAUAUUUAGGCUUAUGGGUUAGCAUCUAGGACAAUGCAUUAAAAUACCCCUCUGCACUCCACUGAGUCAUAAAAUGCCCAUUUUCAAUGCACCUCCAAAUGCACAAUGUUAAAACCCUAAAGCUUUGCACCACUACCACCACACAUUAAUACAAAGAGUAUGUACAAUUAAAAUAUACGGGUGUAUGUGUGUGUAUGUGUAUAUAUUUAUGUAGGUGUAUAUAUAUAUCAGUCAAUCAUAUUAGGCCAAUCAGCCUAACUUCCAUCCUAGGAAAAAUGCUAGAAAAGUCCAUCAAGGAAUCUAUCUGCGAUAAGCUUGCAGAAGGUAAGAUUCUGAAUGACAGCCAGCAUGGCUUCAUCAUAGGCAGGUCUUGCCUUACUGACCUCAUCUCCUUCUAUGACCAGAUAACUCACCACCUGGGCACAAGAGAGCAGGUUGACUUCCAAAGGCCUUUGAUCUAGUAUCCCACGAUGUCCUCAUGAGAAAAUUGGAGGAUUGUGGGCUUAACUCCAAGACAGUCAGGUGGGUGAGAAACUAGCUGCAGGAUAGGGCCUAGAGAGUCACAGCAACAGAUCUGUGUCAUCCUGGCAAGAAGUGGGCAGUGGUGUCCCACAGGAGUCUAGUACUUUUCAACAUCUUUAUUAAUGAUUUAGAUGUGGGGGUGAAGAGCUCACUGGACAAAUUCGACACCAAGACGACACCAAGUUAUAAGGAAGCAUGGUCAUGCUUGAAGAUAGGCUACAGAUACAGGCAGACCUAACUAAGUAAGCGAGUUGGGCAGAUCAGAACCUGGUGAAGUUCAAUGUCAAGAAAUGUAGUGUUCACCUCGGGAACUAAUGCUAAUGCUAGUCAUAUCACUUCCUUGUAUGCCAUUGGCAACAUAAUUUGGCAUGCCUUAACCCCAGUGCUUGGAUGUGCUGUUUGUCUUUGAUUUAUUUCUUAACUAGUAUCUAUCCAUUCCACUAUUUAAACCUAUUAAACCAUCACUAUAAUUUCCUGUGGCAAUGAGUUCCACACACUGACUCA